AGGGCGCACGGUGGAUGCCUUGGCACUAGAAGCCGACGAAGGACGUUACUAACGACGAUAUGCUUUGGGUAGCUGUAAGUAAGCGUUGAUCCAGAGAUUUCCGAAUGGGGGAACCCAGCACGAGUUAUGUCGUGUUAUCGACAAGUGAAUUCAUAGCUUGUCAGAAGGCAGACCCGGAGAACUGAAACAUCUUAGUACCCGGAGGAAGAGAAAGAAAAAUCGAUUCCCUGAGUAGCGGCGAGCGAAACGGGAAGAGCCCAAACCAAUAAGCUUGCUUAUUGGGGUUGUAGGACACUCUAUACGGAGUUACAAAGGAAUAUAUUAGACGAAUCAUCUGGAAAGUUGAAUCAAAGAAGGUAAUAAUCCUGUAGUUGAAAAUAUAUUCUCUCUUGAGUGGAUCCUGAGUACGACGGAGCACGUGAAAUUCCGUCGGAAUCUGGGAGGACCAUCUCCUAAGGCUAAAUACUCUCUAGUGACCGAUAGUGAACCAGUACCGUGAGGGAAAGGUGAAAAGUACCCCGGAAGGGGAGUGAAAGAGAACUUGAAACCGUGUGCUUACAAGUAGUCAGAGCCCGUUAAUGGGUGAUGGCGUGCCUUUUGUAGAAUGAACCGGCGAGUUACGAUCUGAUGCAAGGUUAAGCAGGAGAUGUGGAGCCGUAGCGAAAGCGAGUCUGAAUAGGGCGUUGAGUAUUUGGUCGUAGACCCGAAACCAGGUGAUCUACCCAUGGUCAGGUUGAAGUUCAGGUAACACUGAAUGGAGGACCGAACCGACUUACGUUGAAAAGUGAGCGGAUGAACUGUGGGUAGCGGAGAAAUUCCAAUCGAACUUGGAGAUAGCUGGUUCUCUCCGAAAUAGCUUUAGGGCUAGCCUCAAGUGAUGAUUAUUGGAGGUAGAGCACUGUUUGGACGAGGGGCCCCUCUCGGGUUACCGAAUUCAGACAAACUCCGAAUGCCAAUUAAUUUAACUUGGGAGUCAGAACAUGGGUGAUAAGGUCCGUGUUCGAAAGGGAAACAGCCCAGACCACCAGCUAAGGUCCCAAAAUAUAUGUUAAGUGGAAAAGGAUGUGGCGUUGCCCAGACAACUAGGAUGUUGGCUUAGAAGCAGCCAUCAUUUAAAGAGUGCGUAAUAGCUCACUAGUCGAGUGACACUGCGCCGAAAAUGUACCGGGGCUAAACAUAUUACCGAAGCUGUGGAUUGUCCGUAGGACAAUGGUAGGAGAGCGUUCUAAGGGCGUUGAAGCAUGAUCGCAAGGACAUGUGGAGCGCUUAGAAGUGAGAAUGCCGGUGUGAGUAGCGAAAGACGGGUGAGAAUCCCGUCCACCGAUUGACUAAGGUUUCCAGAGGAAGGCUCGUCCGCUCUGGGUUAGUCGGGUCCUAAGCUGAGGCCGACAGGCGUAGGCGAUGGAUAACAGGUUGAUAUUCCUGUACCACCUAGCAUCGUUUUAAUCGAUGGGGGGACGCAGUAGGAUAGGCGAAGCGUACGAUUGGAUUGUACGUCCAAGCAGUGAGAUUGAGUGUUAGGCAAAUCCGGCACUCUUAAGAUUGAGCUGUGAUGGGGAGAGGAAAUUGUUUCCUCGAGUCGUUGAUUUCACACUGCCGAGAAAAGCCUCUAGAUAGAUAAUAGGUGCCCGUACCGCAAACCGACACAGGUAGUCAAGAUGAGAAUUCUAAGGUGAGCGAGCGAACUCUCGUUAAGGAACUCGGCAAAAUGACCCCGUAACUUCGGGAGAAGGGGUGCUCUUUAGGGUGCAAGCCCAGAAGAGCCGCAGUGAAUAGGCCCAAGCGACUGUUUAUCAAAAACACAGGUCUCUGCUAAACCGUAAGGUGAUGUAUAGGGGCUGACGCCUGCCCGGUGCUGGAAGGUUAAGAGGAGUGGUUAGCUUCUGCGAAGCUACGAAUCGAAGCCCCAGUAAACGGCGGCCGUAACUAUAACGGUCCUAAGGUAGCGAAAUUCCUUGUCGGGUAAGUUCCGACCCGCACGAAAGGCGUAACGAUUUGGGCACUGUCUCAACGAGAGACUCGGUGAAAUCAUAGUACCUGUGAAGAUGCAGGUUACCCGCGACAGGACGGAAAGACCCCGUGGAGCUUUACUGUAGCCUGAUAUUGAAAUUCGGCACAGCUUGUACAGGAUAGGUAGGAGCCUUUGAAACGUGAGCGCUAGCUUACGUGGAGGCGCUGGUGGGAUACUACCCUAGCUGUGUUGGCUUUCUAACCCGCACCACUUAUCGUGGUGGGAGACAGUGUCAGGCGGGCAGUUUGACUGGGGCGGUCGCCUCCUAAAAGGUAACGGAGGCGCUCAAAGGUUCCCUCAGAAUGGUUGGAAAUCAUUCAUAGAGUGUAAAGG
rnacentral:rRNA from 1 species